rnacentral:rRNA from 1 species
CAAGUCGAACGGUUGAGACCGCAAGGUCAAGACAGUGGCAGACGGGUGAGUAACGCGUAGGAAUCUAUCCCUAGGUGGAGUAUAGCCCUCCGAAAGGAGGGGUAAUUCUCCAUAGUUCCCGUAAGGGUAAAGGACUUAACGGUCCGCCAAGGGAGGAGCCUGCGUCCUAUCAGCUAGUUGGCGGGGUAAAUGCCCACCAAGGCGAUGACGGGUAGCUGGACUGAGAGGUCGAUCAGCCACAACUGCACUGAGACACGGGCAGUACACCUACGGGUGGCAGCAACCAGGAAUAUUGCGCAAUGGACGAAAGUCUGACGCAGCGACGCCGCGUGGAGGAAGAAGACCUUCGGGUUGUAAACUCCUUUUGCCAAGCCGUUCACAGCUUGGCGAAUAAGCCUCUACUAACUACGUGCCAGAAGUCUCGGUAAUACGUAGGAGGCAAGCGUUAUCCGGAUUUACUGGGCGUAAAGUGUGCGUAGGCGUUCCAUAAAGUCUUUGCUUAAAGACCAAGGCUUACCCUUGGCAGUGGUAGAGAUACUCAUGGAAUUGAGGAUUGGCAGGGAUGCUGGAACAGCUGGUGUAGCGGUGAAAUGCGUUGAUAUCAGCUGGAACACCAAGGGCGAAGGCAAGCAUCUGUGCUCUUCCUGACGCUGAGGCACGAAAGCUAGGGUAGCGAAACAGAUUAGAUACCUGUGUAGUCCUAGCUGUAAACAAUGUCCGCUAGCUCUUACCCGUAAGGGUAGGGGUGUAAGCUAACGCGUUAAGCGGACCGCCUGGGGAGUACGGCCGCAAGGCUAAAACUCAAAGGAAUUGACGGGGACCCGCACAACCUGUGGAGCGUGUGGUUUAAUUCGAGACAAA